CACAUAGAUAGAGAAACAUAACCAAACAUAAAAAUUCGUAUAUUGUAUUGUAUUGUUUGUUUUGUGCUUUUGUUAAAAACAAUGUCUAAGAGAAUACAUCGAGUGUGUGCGGUGCAAAAUUGUUUUCACAAUGAUUAAUGAUGAUAAUAUAUCAUUUUUUCGCUUUUCAAAAGAGAAAGAAAGCGGUGGUUUCUAAUAUUAUUGAUACGCUACUUGCCGCCCGAAGACAUGGCGGAUCGGCUGAAAAAGAUCAAAGGUGCCGACGCUCUUUGUCCCUAUUGUAUAUCAUUAUGUGGCGGCAUCUAAGGAGUACAAGGCAGAACUAGCCCGACCAAUGAGAGGGCAGCACGAAUACCGAGAUGGAGAGCCUUGGAAGGAAUCAGAGAACAAGGAGAAGCUAAUUGCUCGCGCUAUAAGUCACACGUGCAUUAAGUAAUCAGUUCUAGUCUGUGUUAAAUAAAGUCAGCAUCUUUAUAUAUUUUCACCUAAACCGAAAUGUUGUAAUAGUUCCUCGUGCGUUAAAACUGCCUUAAAUGUAGUAUAACAAUCAAAUAAAUAAUACGCUCGCUACAAUUAUACUGUGGUGGAGGCUCGUAGCGGAAUUUUUUAGAACUUUCUCCAGGAAAAAAAACAGGCGCCUAUGGGAUGAUAACCCGUCGUACGGGGAAACACGGCGAGUUGCUGUUUCGUAGGCGUCGGUAUUUUGCCGAAGAUUCGUUGCCAAAAUUCCGCCCACUGUUUUCGAUAGAAAAAUAGGUAAUAGCAAGUAGUAGUGCAAUUCAACGAUUAAAUAAAAGCAAUUUCAAUUUCCGUUUAUUGUCGAAACGCAUAAGGCACUCAGCGAUGUACAAUGUUGGCACAAAA